rnacentral:rRNA from 1 species
UACGGAGGAUGCGAGCGUUAUCCGGAUUUAUUGGGUUUAAAGGGUGCGUAGGUGGCCUUGUAAGUCAGCGGUGAAAGUUUGUCGCUCAACGAUAAAAUUGCCGUUGAAACUGCUUGGCUUGAGUGUAAAUGAAGUAGGCGGAAUGCGUGGUGUAGCGGUGAAAUGCAUAGAGAUCACGCAGAACUCCAAUUGCGAAGGCAGCUUACUAAGCUACAACUGACACUGAAGCACGAAAGCGUGGGUAUCAAAC